GUCAUACCCGUAGGGUUGACGGGAGCUUGAAAAAGCUCUAACUUGACCAGGCUAAGUGCUUAGCGCACUCCGUUAUUCAGUUCAUGAAACCUACAAAUACGUGCCAGUUUGUAGCUCUUUCGUGCAGUUUUAAACAGGUGUAAUGAGUUAAACGAGUGAGCUGUGCCUAACAAGGCUGAAUAACAUUGUCGAGGCAAACUUAAC
rfam:Phormidium ambiguum IAM M-71 NIES-2119_Scaffold_17, whole genome shotgun sequence.